CGUCCGGUCAAUUCGCUUGCUUUUCCGUGACUGUCGAUUUCAUCCAAGCGUUGUUAUAAACAAACCAUUUGUUUGAUGCUAAGGCUCCGUCAUUAAUCUAUAUUCAUAGCUUGCAAAUAACGCUUGACGCUUGAUACGGUGAACUCAUCGAGAGUUCAAUUUCAAAU